rnacentral:lncRNA from 1 species
AGAUGGCUCCCCCAGGUGCUCCGGCAAUGCAGGGCGGACACCUCUCCUCUGGCAGGGAAGGUGCCCAGAUGUCUGAAGCCCGAAAUGGGGUCUGUCUCAGAAGCUGUCCUCUAGGGACCUUGGGGGUGUCCACCGUCUCUGAGCCCAGGUGACCAAGUGCUGGCACCAACCAGAGGGGACUUGUGACCCUGGUCAGUCUGGGUUUCCUGUUUCUCUAAUGCUGUCUCAGGUCUCGCACAAUUGGAUCGGAACAGAAGUUGUGUUCCACUCAUCGGUGGUCCUAAGAUCACGUGGAGAUCUUAGGGUCUGUCCGCUGACUCAGCACCCAAGGUGACCUGGUGCUGCUGCCAACCAGAAGGCUUAAGUCUUAUUUUAUGACAAGGAAAUGGAAUUACCAAAGAAAUUAAGUAAUCUCCCCAAGUUCACAAAGCUAUAGAAUGCCAGAGAUAGGAUUUCAGGACAGUCAGUCUGUCUCCAUUGUAUCCAACCUACCCUUUUGUUCUAGUGACUAAUGGAUUUACAGUGCCAGUCGGGAUAUGUUCAAUGGGGAUGCAUUUAAUUAACACAUGGGAGGAUGGGGGUAGCGAGAUUGAAUAAAGGCUGAGUCAAUAGCUUUGACUUCAUUGACUCAGUACUCCAUUUAGUCGGCUAAAUGAACUCAGCCGACUUGGUGUCUCAGCGCACUCAGGAAUGAUGAAAGCCUUGCCCACAAGUUAAAGGCUGUUGGCUUGGUGUUGGUUGUGGGAUGGAGUAGAUUCACAGAAUAAAGGCCAAGAACAUUCGAGUGACAACCUGUGUCCGUUAAGCUCACUGACAGCCAGGGCAGAACUUGUUCAUUUACGGGCACCACUGAGAAGCACUUAUUAUUCAACCUGUGUCCAGGGAAAAUGUUUUCACCAUUUAAAACAAAAAGAAGUUUGUCUCCACAUCAAUUUAAAUCUUGUCAAAAUGAUGACGGAAUCUUCACAGACCUUUUCCUCCAUUGUCAUCAGCUUUUGGGAAAGCUAGAUGUUGUCCCGCAUGCCCCAAUGUGUGUUUUGAAUUUGAUGUGCAACCCUGAGUCCAUUGACCAUGGAUCAAUUUGAACUUUCCAGCGCGCCUCAUCUUACUUUUUCUAAGAGAUACAG